GUGACAUUCGCCGUUCUCUUCCUUACUUGGCUCGAGUCGGGUUCCUCCAGUGAGACCCGUCCCUUCCUCCGCUGCACCAAGGUCAGCAUAUUAUCUUCAUCCCGCUGAAAAACUGAGGGCCAGAGAGUUAAAAACUGACUCUAUCUUGCAAUUAGUAAACAAUGGAGUCAGGAUAGGAACCUGAGACCACCUGACUGCCGAACCCUGGGGCCCGCCCACAACCCAGUGGGAGCUUCUGGGGGCCUCAUGAAGCAGCCCCAUCGAUCUCUGCUCUCAGGGCCCAAGGAGUCUCUCAGGGCUCUCCUCCCUUCUGCACCACCCCUGCUUCUUGGGCAGGCCCGCCUCUCCCACCACAGGGAAGCUCUCUGAAGCCACGGAUUAUGUCUCGUCUUUGGUGAAGAAGUAGAAUCACAGAAUUAGGGCCAAUCCUAGUUAAUAAACGCCACCUUAGAGUGUCCUAUAAAA